GGCUACACAGAGAAACCAUGUCUUGAAAAACCAUAAAAACAAAGGAAAGAAGGUUCCUCUAGCUUGUGUCAAGUACAGCAGGCUACUAUAAUUCCCUUUCACCAUGAUGGAUACAGUAAGAGGCUCUAGACAGAUGCUGGUACUCUGUGGAUUUUCAAGAACCCUGUGGAAAAUGAAUGUCUUUAUUAACUAUCCAGGCUCUAGUAAUCUGAAUAAGAACAUGAAGAAACGA